GACGAACGCUGGCGGCGUGCUUAACACAUGCAAGUCGAACGGAAAGGCCCUGCUUUUGUUGGGUGCUCGAGUGGCGAACGGGUGAGUAACACGUGAGUAACCUGCCCUUGACUUUGGGAUAACUUCAGGAAACUGGGGCUAAUACCGGAUAGGAGCUCCUGCUGCAUGGUGGGGGUUGGAAAGUUUCGGCGGUUGGGGAUGGACUCGCGGCUUAUCAGCUUGUUGGUAGGGUAGUGGCUUACCAAGGCUUUGACGGGUAGCCGGCCUGAGAGGGUGACCGGCCACAUUGGGACUGAGAUACGGCCCAGACUCCUACGGGAGGCAGCAGUGGGGAAUAUUGCACAAUGGGCGGAAGCCUGAUGCAGCAACGCCGCGUGCGGGAUGACGGCCUUCGGGUUGUAAACCGCUUUCGCCUGUGACGAAGCGUGAGUGACGGUAAUGGGUAAAGAAGCACCGGCUAACUACGUG
rnacentral:rRNA from 1 species